GUACAUGGUUAAAAAAAAUAUGUGUAAUCAUGAUAUAUAUUAUAUAUUAUACCUCACAGUGACUAUAUGUAAUUCUGUAUCAUUUAUCAUAGCUAUCAUAUACACAUAUGAACAAUUCAAAUGUAUAAGAAAUCAGAAAAAAUUAUAAAAUUAUCAAGGAUGUUUGAAAUAAGAAUUUAUAUCCACGUAUUAUAAAUCAUGGGUGUUGCUGUAAGUAUGUGGUGCUUUGAGAUGAGAGUUACAAUGGAUAUGAGACCAUCAAAAUUGACAAGCUAUUUAGAAAUUAAGCAUCCAAACAUGAAUUAAACCUCUCUCUUUUAGAGCAAAAAAGUUUGUGAACAUGUAUGAGUGUUUCAAAUUACAUGUAUUAGUCCUUUACUAGAGCUGUGCAUAUUUUGUAACUUAAUACAUACACAUACAUUGGAGGGGUGCAUGCUCAAAUUUUUAACUGAUAUGAGUGCACCGUCAAGAGCCUAGAAUCAGUUAGCAAUACCCCAUAUUCUGUUCAUUAAUGCUGUCUUCAAAACUCUUUCCUUCUGCCCAGAAUGCUCUGCUUUAGGCCCCAAUCUGACCAUUACAACAGGUUUCGGUUGGCCUCCUUGCCUCUAACUUCUUAUCUUUUCAAUUUCUUUGUAAGCAAUUGCUGUAAUUGUCUAAGGCUUAUAUUUGAUCUUGUCAUUUCCCUGCAUAAAAACUUUGGUGGUUCUCUAUUGUAGCAGAAUGAAUUCCUGGUCCCUUAACAUGUUUAAAGUUGUCUGUGAUUAGUCUAAGUCCAUUUCUUCUCCUUAUUUCUCAUUUUAUCCAUCUGUGCUAAACUACAGGCCAGGAACAUUUAGAUCUGUUGCUUUUUUCUCACUAUUUCUUUAGCUUGAAUACUCCCCCUCCCCAUACCUCAUAUUCUCCUCAUUUAAAACCUUUCUUCUCCACCCCUCCAACUUCAAGGAGGUAUAAUUAACAAAUAAAAUUGUUUAUAUUGUAGAGCAUGGUAAUAUGAUAUAUUCAUACUUUGUGAAAUGAUUACCACAAUCAGAAAAAUUUUCUCCUUUAAAGACCUGCUACAUUUUGCCUCGUCCAUGAAUUAAGCCCUGUGACUCCCUAUGGGACUAUAACUCUAUCCCUCCUCUGAUUUGUGAUAGUACUUUGUUUUUAAUCUAUGCUUAAAUAUGCAUUCAGCAUAAAGCACCCCCAAUCAGAAUAGAUAUCUUCCUUCCUGGUGCAUAUUGUGUUGUAUUGUGAAAUGAUCAGUUCUGUCUUUGGGGAUAUAUCCCACUGUGCCUUGUAAUCUAUUCAGUUAUUAUGUUUAUCUUCCUCUCCUUCAUUCCCUUCCCUUCAGAUUUUAUGCUCUGGGGCACAGGGAAUUAGUACUUUUUGUAUUAUUUGUGGGGAAAACUUGUGAAAGACAGAAAUAGACCAAGAUAUGAUGGUUGUCUUCAGUGGGAAACUGGGCAUUGUCCAGAUUAUCUGAUUCUAUCAGGUCUGAAUCUUUCAUUGUCUUUUGAGUUAUUUUACAUUGCUGUGAGUUAUAUAAUACUUAUAGUAAUGCAAAUGAUUCUUAUCCAUAGAAAUGCAAAUUGUAUCUCAUUGGGAUUCAGUUGAUUAUUGCCCUGUGGAUAUUGAGCAGUUUUGAAGUUUUACAUUUGUUAAGCAAAUUUAUUUUACCGUAGCUAAGGCCCUUAUAUAUAUGAUUCUUUGAAUUCUCUUUUGAACCAGUUGUAAUACCUUUCUGGUUCCCUCAUUAAUUAACUAAUUAAUUAUAUAAAAGUUUUGACACAUGUUCAUUUUAUAUCUGUAUGAAUGUCAUGCUAUAUCCUCUUCUAAAAAUUAUCUUUUAAUAUAGGAAUAUGCCUUUAAAUUAAAUAUUAAUAUUUCUUAAUUUCAGAUUAAAGAUCAUUUAAUGAAGAACACUGCAGAAAAUUGAGACACUUUUCUUCUUAGAAGUGUUAAGAUUAGGGGAUAGAGACAUAUUUUCCAAAGUGAAUUUGACUUGUCUGAACAGGUGAACAAUUUCCUAUUCAGGACUGAAAAUUUGUUACUAUCACAAUGAAUUUGAGAUUCGGCCUUUUUAUUUUUUGAUCAAGUUGACUGUAUGCCAAACAAAACCAAACCAAACAAAACAAAUAUCUGAUUUGUAUGUACUCAAAUAUUUUUUAAAAAAAGAUACAGAGAGUUCCCGUCGUGGCACAGUGGUUAACGAAUCUGACUAGGAACCAUGAGGUUGCGGGUUCGGUCCCUGCCCUUGCUCAGUGGGUUAACGAUCCGGCAUUGCCGUGAGCUGUGGUGUAGGUUGCAGACGCGGCUCGGAUCCCGCAUUGCUGUGGCUCUGGCAUAGGCUGGGGGCUACAGCUCCGAUUCGACCCCUAGCCUGGGAAUCUCCAUAUGCCACGGAGCGGCCCAAAGAAAUAGCAAAAACACAAAAAUAAAUAAAUAAAAAAUAAAAUAAAAAAUAAAUUAAAAAAAAGGUACAAAAGAGUAAGAAACUUUAAGGUAUUACUUAAUUUUUUUUUUAUGUUUUAGGUUUUUAGGUUGGUUUGUUUUCUUUUUAGCGCUGUGCCUGCAGCAUAUGGAAGGAAGUUCCCAGGCUAAGGGUCCAAUUGGAGCUGUAGCCACCAGCCAACACCACAGCCACAGCAACUCGGGAUCUGAGCUACAUCUUUGACCUACACCACAGCUCAAGCAACACCGGAUCCUUAAUGCACUGAAUGAGGCCAGGGAUUGAACCUGCAUCCUCAGGGAUACUAGUCGGGUUCCUAACCCACUGAGCCAAAACAGGAUCUCCGAGUUGUUUUUUGUUUUCUGUUUUUGUUUUUUUUUUUUCACUUGGAAGAUUUCACGUUUAAAAAAUUAUACUUAAAUCUCAGUAAUUAAUUGGAAGUUGUAUAAGGUAGAAGUUUUACACUUUUAAAGUAUGAAGAUUAUGGUAUCUUUAAGAUAGGAAACACAUACUGAAUUCACAGCCUGUUCACACCUGUCUUGGUCUUCAGACUGGGAAAUGCUUGGGAGUCCACCUUAGGUUUCUGGUUCUUUCUGUCUAAAUUCUUGGUUUAUCUCAAUUAUAUUCUGCUUCUCCCACCUUUUCAGCUUCUCUUCUAUCUCAUUUCCUUCUGCUACCAAUUGCAGUUUCCCAAGUAUCUGAAUUUUUGAGAAAGUUCUUCACUUCCCACCCUGAUAGAUUAAUUCACUUUUCUGUUUGGAUGAAGGUAAAAGCAGAAGUUGGGGGUUGGAUGGACAGAUUGGAGACAGGUUUUAGUAGUAAAAUUGAUAGACCAUGGAAAGAUAAGCAAAGAGAAUUGAGGGUGACUUCUCUUUCUGCCAUGAGCAACUGGAGCUUCAGGGACCACUUACUGACAUGGGCAAGACUGGAGUAGGGGCAAGCUUGGGAAAGAUUAGCAUAACAUUUUUUCAGUUUCUUCUUGUUUGCAUCAAAGUAUAUUUAGAAAUUAAAACUCAUGCAAUCCAAUACAUAUUAAAUUUUAACUUGUGAAAUUCUGCCCCAUCACACCACCCUCAAUACCCUUUCUCCAGGACAGAAAACUAUAUCUUCUACUCUAUUCACAAGUUAAGCAUUUUUUCCCCAGGUGAAAUCAACAUUUCCUAUCAAUAGUUAACAAAAGGAGAAAGGAAUGAUAGUGUAACAACUAUUUUGCCUUGAGUCUUCCUCAAAGUCUAAGACAAAUUCUCCUCUCUGUAGAAUAGUUGUUUCAAAUUAGCUGGAAAUUCAGUUCUCUGCUUUUAAGAAAUCCCUUAGGGAAGGCAAAUAUGAAUAUCUCCCAUUGUUUCUGAGGUGAAGAAUGUUAACUACUGAUCAGAUCAGAGUGGGGCAACUUUAAGGGGAGAAAAAUAAUUCAAAAUGAUUUGCCUGGUUUCAGAGUCUUCUGGCCCAAAUGGUACUGACAUUUUCAUUAAGCAGGUUUAAGGAAAACAAUAGAAGUUAAUUAACUUAGUGAUGUUUCAACUGAAAUGGCCAAAACUGCCCAAGGCCUCAGGUCAGUCUAAUGUUGUUAGGAGCACCUUGGCCUUUUACUUUACACUCUAUCACCUUUGAACAUCUAUAAACAAAUUAGCAUCGCUUUUUGUAUAAUGCUGUGUAGCUCACAGGGAAGUGUGAAAAUGUAUUAGGUAAUGUCUGCAAAGUACUUUAAAUGAUUUAUUCUUUAGCCAGUUUUUCCUAAGGGAUACUUUGUCUCACACACUUGUAAUUGCCAUCUACCUCAAUGAUGAAGAGCAAUCUUCAGCUAAACACUUAGUGGGUUGCAAGAGAUGACUCAUAGAUCUUUUUGCACACAGAACAUACACUUACAUUUCCCAUUAUGAAAUUCUGCCUUUCAAACUAGCAUAUUUUAUUUUUUUUGGUGACAUUUAGAUAUCAUUUUUGGUUUGCAGAAGUGGCAGGUAUAACUUUGUGGUUGUUAGUAAGAAGUUUUUACUAUGGGGGUAGAAGAAUGUAG
rnacentral:lncRNA from 1 species